GACGAACCGUGCGAACGUUAUUCGGAAUCACUGGGCUUAAAGCGCGUGUAGGCGGGGCGGCACGUCGGUCGCUGAAAGCCCUCGGCUCAACCGGGGAACGGGCGCCGAUACGACCGCCCUGGAGGGACGUAGGGGGGCCUGGAACUUCCGGUGGAGCGGUGAAAUGCGUAGAUAUCGUUUGGAACGCCAAUGGUGAAAACAGGUCGCUGGGGAUGAGCUGACGCUGAGACACGAAAGCCAGGGGAGCAAACGGG
rnacentral:rRNA from 1 species